rnacentral:rRNA from 1 species
UACAGAGGGUGCGAGCGUUGUUCGGAAUCAUUGGGCGUAAAGCGCUUGUAGGCGGCCUGUCAAGUCGCGUGUGAAAUCCCUUGGCUUAACCAAGGAAGUGCGCGCGAAACUGGCGGGCUUGAGUGCCGGAGAGGGUCGCGGAAUUCCCGGUGUAGAGGUGAAAUUCGUAGAUAUCGGGAGGAACACCAGUGGCGAAGGCGGCGACCUGGACGGACACUGACGCUGAGACGCGAAUGCGUGGGGAGCAAACAGG